rnacentral:lncRNA from 1 species
AUGCCUAAAGGACUGAAAGGAAAAAUGGUAGGAUGGGGAAAAAACGUCAUCGAUCCGUACAGUAGAAAAGCAGCUCAGAUUACAAGAGAGUCUCACAAACAAGACAAGAAGCAAAGAUUGGAGACUGAGAGGGCCUUGCGUCUCAACCUUAUUGGUGACAAACUUCAGUGGUUUCACAGUUAUCUGGAUACAAAAAGACCCGAUAUAUUCAAAGAAAGAUGCCUGUGAAUUAAUUGAAAGGUACUUGGAUCAGUUCAGCAGUGAGCUGGAGCAGAUUGAAUUACACAACAGCAUCAAGGACAGGCAGGGAAGCGGCACCCUUCCCGGGAGGCCGUCAUCAAGCAGACCUCGAAGCGGGAGCAGCAGCAGUAAGAAGGCUAUGGCUUUGAGAUCCCAGACAUUUUAGACUCUAAUACUUGGCAGACUUUCCGGGAAUGGGAUUUUGAUCUGAAGAAAUUGCCAAACAUCAAAACUUUGUGCUAAAGAUGCAGUUCCUAAGAAGCGCAAACAUAAAAAUAUUUUAAAUAUAGAAAAGGAUUUAGGAGAAUUAGAACUAUCAGGUGAAACUGGAGACACUACAGAUGGGAAACUGGAACCAGCACGUGAAUCAAGUGACACGGGUGAAGAGAUCACUCCAGUGCCUGUCAGCCCUC